rnacentral:rRNA from 1 species
GGGUUGUGAGGUUAAGCGACUAAGCGUACACGGUGGAUGCCCAGGCAGUCAGAGGCGAUGAAGGACGUGCUAAUCUGCGAUAAGCGUCGGUAAGGUGAUAUGAACCGUUAUAACCGGCGAUUUCCGAAUGGGGAAACCCAGUGUGUUUCGACACACUAUCAUUAACUGAAUCCAUAGGUUAAUGAGGCGAACCGGGGGAACUGAAACAUCUAAGUACCCCGAGGAAAAGAAAUCAACCGAGAUUCCCCCAGUAGCGGCGAGCGAACGGGGAGCAGCCCAGAGCCUGAAUCAGUGUGUGUGUUAGUGGAAGCGUCUGGAAAGGCGCGCGAUACAGGGUGACAGCCCCGUACACAAAAAUGCACAUGCUGUGAGCUCGAUGAGUAGGGCGGGACACGUGGUAUCCUGUCUGAAUAUGGGGGGACCAUCCUCCAAGGCUAAAUACUCCUGACUGACCGAUAGUGAACCAGUACCGUGAGGGAAAGGCGAAAAGAACCCCGGCGAGGGGAGUGAAAAAGAACCUGAAACCGUGUACGUACAAGCAGUGGGAGCACGCUUAGGCGUGUGACUGCGUACCUUUUGUAUAAUGGGUCAGCGACUUAUAUUCUGUAGCAAGGUUAACCGAAUAGGGGAGCCGAAGGGAAACCGAGUCUUAACUGGGCGUUAAGUUGCAGGGUAUAGACCCGAAACCCGGUGAUCUAGCCAUGGGCAGGUUGAAGGUUGGGUAACACUAACUGGAGGACCGAACCGACUAAUGUUGAAAAAUUAGCGGAUGACUUGUGGCUGGGGGUGAAAGGCCAAUCAAACCGGGAGAUAGCUGGUUCUCCCCGAAAGCUAUUUAGGUAGCGCCUCGUGAAUUCAUCUCCGGGGGUAGAGCACUGUUUCGGCAAGGGGGUCAUCCCGACUUACCAACCCGAUGCAAACUGCGAAUACCGGAGAAUGUUAUCACGGGAGACACACGGCGGGUGCUAACGUCCGUCGUGAAGAGGGAAACAACCCAGACCGCCAGCUAAGGUCCCAAAGUCAUGGUUAAGUGGGAAACGAUGUGGGAAGGCCCAGACAGCCAGGAUGUUGGCUUAGAAGCAGCCAUCAUUUAAAGAAAGCGUAAUAGCUCACUGGUCGAGUCGGCCUGCGCGGAAGAUGUAACGGGGCUAAACCAUGCACCGAAGCUGCGGCAGCGACGCUUAUGCGUUGUUGGGUAGGGGAGCGUUCUGUAAGCCUGUGAAGGUGUGCUGUGAGGCAUGCUGGAGGUAUCAGAAGUGCGAAUGCUGACAUAAGUAACGAUAAAGCGGGUGAAAAGCCCGCUCGCCGGAAGACCAAGGGUUCCUGUCCAACGUUAAUCGGGGCAGGGUGAGUCGACCCCUAAGGCGAGGCCGAAAGGCGUAGUCGAUGGGAAACAGGUUAAUAUUCCUGUACUUGGUGUUACUGCGAAGGGGGGACGGAGAAGGCUAUGUUGGCCGGGCGACGGUUGUCCCGGUUUAAGCGUGUAGGCUGGUUUUCCAGGCAAAUCCGGAAAAUCAAGGCUGAGGCGUGAUGACGAGGCACUACGGUGUUGAAGCAACAAAUGCCCUGCUUCCAGGAAAAGCCUCUAAGCAUCAGGUAACAUCAAAUCGUACCCCAAACCGACACAGGUGGUCAGGUAGAGAAUACCAAGGCGCUUGAGAGAACUCGGGUGAAGGAACUAGGCAAAAUGGUGCCGUAACUUCGGGAGAAGGCACGCUGAUAUGUAGGUGAAGUCCCUCGCGGAUGGAGCUGAAAUCAGUCGAAGAUACCAGCUGGCUGCAACUGUUUAUUAAAAACACAGCACUGUGCAAACACGAAAGUGGACGUAUACGGUGUGACGCCUGCCCGGUGCCGGAAGGUUAAUUGAUGGGGUUAGCCGCAAGGCGAAGCUCUUGAUCGAAGCCCCGGUAAACGGCGGCCGUAACUAUAACGGUCCUAAGGUAGCGAAAUUCCUUGUCGGGUAAGUUCCGACCUGCACGAAUGGCGUAAUGAUGGCCAGGCUGUCUCCACCCGAGACUCAGUGAAAUUGAACUCGCUGUGAAGAUGCAGUGUACCCGCGGCAAGACGGAAAGACCCCGUGAACCUUUACUAUAGCUUGACACUGAACAUUGAGCCUUGAUGUGUAGGAUAGGUGGGAGGCUUAGAAGUGUGGACGCCAGUCUGCAUGGAGCCGACCUUGAAAUACCACCCUUUAAUGUUUGAUGUUCUAACGUUGACCCGUAAUCCGGGUUGCGGACAGUGUCUGGUGGGUAGUUUGACUGGGGCGGUCUCCUCCUAAAGAGUAACGGAGGAGCACGAAGGUUGGCUAAUCCUGGUCGGACAUCAGGAGGUUAGUGCAAUGGCAUAAGCCAGCUUGACUGCGAGCGUGACGGCGCGAGCAGGUGCGAAAGCAGGUCAUAGUGAUCCGGUGGUUCUGAAUGGAAGGGCCAUCGCUCAACGGAUAAAAGGUACUCCGGGGAUAACAGGCUGAUACCGCCCAAGAGUUCAUAUCGACGGCGGUGUUUGGCACCUCGAUGUCGGCUCAUCACAUCCUGGGGCUGAAGUAGGUCCCAAGGGUAUGGCUGUUCGCCAUUUAAAGUGGUACGCGAGCUGGGUUUAGAACGUCGUGAGACAGUUCGGUCCCUAUCUGCCGUGGGCGCUGGAGAACUGAGGGGGGCUGCUCCUAGUACGAGAGGACCGGAGUGGACGCAUCACUGGUGUUCGGGUUGUCAUGCCAAUGGCACUGCCCGGUAGCUAAAUGCGGAAGAGAUAAGUGCUGAAAGCAUCUAAGCACGAAACUUGCCCCGAGAUGAGUUCUCCCUGACUCCUUGAGAGUCCUGAAGGAACGUUGAAGACGACGACGUUGAUAGGCCGGGUGUGUAAGCGCAGCGAUGCGUUGAGCUAACCGGUACUAAUGAACCGUGAGGCUUAACCUUACAACGCCGAAGGUGUUU